rnacentral:rRNA from 1 species
CCUACGGGCGGCAGCAGUGAGGAAUAUUGGUCAAUGGCCGAGAGGCUGAACCAGCCAAGUCGCGUGAGGGAUGACGGCCCUACGGGUUGUAAACCUCUUUUGUCGGGGAGCAAAGCGAGUCACGUGUGACUCAUUGAGAGUACCCGAAGAAAAAGCAUCGGCUAACUCCGUGCCAGCAGCCGCGGUAAUACGGAGGAUGCGAGCGUUAUCCGGAUUUAUUGGGUUUAAAGGGAGCGCAGGCGGAGGUGCAAGUCAGCGGUAAAAUUUCGGGGCUCAACCCCGUACUGCCGUUGAUACUGCAUCCCUUGAGUGCGCGAGAAGUAUGCGGAAUGCGUGGUGUAGCGGUGAAAUGCAUAGAUAUCACGCAGAACUCCGAUUGCGAAGGCAGCAUACCGGCGCGCAACUGACGUUCAUGCACGAAAGCGUGGGUAUCGAACAGGAUUAGAUACCCCAGUAGUC